UAGGGAAUCUUCCACAAUGGACGCAAGUCUGAUGGAGCAACGCCGCGUGAGUGAAGAAGGUUUUCGGACCGUAAAGCUCUGUUGUUGGUGAAGAAGGAUAGAGGUAGUAACUGGCCUUUAUUUGACGGUAAUCAACCAGAAAGUCACGGCUAACUACGUGCCAGCAGCCGCGGUAAUACGUAGGUGGCAAGCGUUGUCCGGAUUUAUUGGGCGUAAAGCGAGCGCAGGCGGAAGAAUAAGUCUGAUGUGAAAGCCCUCGGCUUAACCGAGGAAUUGCAUCGGAAACUGUUUUCUUGAGUGCAGAAGAGGAGAGUAGAACUCCAUGUGUAGCGGUGGAAUGCGUAGAUAUAUGGAAGAAUACCAGUGACGAAGGCGGCUCUCUGGUCUGCAACUGACGCUGAGGCUCGAAAGCAUGGGUAGCGAACAGGAUUAGAUACCCUGGUAGUCCAUGCCGUAAACGAUGAGUGCUAAGUGUUGGGAGGCUUCCGCCUCUCAGUGCUGCAGCUAACGCAUUAAGCACUCCGCCUGGGGGAGUACGACCGCAAGGUUGAAAC
rnacentral:rRNA from 1 species